rnacentral:rRNA from 1 species
GAUGAACGCUAGCUACAGGCUUAACACAUGCAAGUCGAGGGACCGGCGCACGGGUGAGUAAUACGUAUCCAACCUGCCCUUUACUCGGGGAUAGCCUUUCGAAAGAAAGAUUAAUACCCGAUAUAAAGGAUGGUGAUGCGUUCCAUUAGGUUGUUGGUGAGGUAACGGCCCACCAAGCCUUCGAUGGAUAGGGGUGCUGAGGGGAAGGUCCACCACAUUGGAGCUGAGACACGGUCCAAACUCCUACGGGAGGCAGCGGUGAGGAAUAUUAGUCAAUGGGCGUUAGCCUGAACCAGCCAAGUAGCGUGAAGGAUGAAGGCUUCUGGGUCGUAAACUACUUUUAUAUAAGAAUAUGUAUUAUAUGAAUAAGGAUCGGCUAACUCCGUGCCAGCAGCCGCGGUAAUUC